CCUACGGGUGGCUGCAGUGGGGGAUAUUGCACAAUGGUGGAAACACCGAUGCAGCGACGCCGCGUGAGUGAAGAAGUUUUUCGGUAUGUAAAGCCCUAUCAGCCGGGAAGCAAAUGACAGUACCUGACCAAGAAGCACCGGCUAACUACGUGCCAGCAGCCGCGGUACUACGUAGGGGGCCAGCGUUAUCCGGAUUUACUGGGUGUAAAGGGAGCGUAGGCGGCAGUGCAAGUCAGAAGUGAAAGCCCAAGGCUCAAACAUGGGACUGCUUUUGAAACUGUACCGCUAGAUUGCAGGAGAGGUAAGUGGAAUUCGUGGUGUAGCGGUGAAAUGCGUAGAUAUUAGGAGGAACACCAGUGGCGAAGGCGGCUUACUGGACUGUAAAUGACGCUGAGGCUCGAAAGCGUGGGGAGCAAACAGGAUUAGAUACCCUGGUAGUC
rnacentral:rRNA from 1 species